UACGUAGGGUGCGAGCGUUUGUCCGGAAUUAUUGGGCGUAAAGGGCUCGUAGGCGGUUUGUCGCGUCGGGAGUGAAAACUCAGGGCUUAACCCUGAGCCUGCUUCCGAUACGGGCAGACUAGAGGUAUGCAGGGGAGAACGGAAUUCCUGGUGUAGCGGUGAAAUGCGCAGAUAUCAGGAGGAACACCGGUGGCGAAGGCGGUUCUCUGGGCAUUACCUGACGCUGAGGAGCGAAAGUGUGGGGAGCGAACAGG
rnacentral:rRNA from 1 species